rnacentral:rRNA from 1 species
GACGAACGCUGGCGGCGUGCCUAAUACAUGCAAGUCGAACGCAGCUGCGAACGGGUGAGUAACGCGUAGGUAACUGCCUCAUAGCGGGGGAUAACUAUGGGAAACGAUAGCUAAUACCGCAUACUGAGAGAAGGACCUGCUUUGGAUUAGCUAGUUGGUGAGGUAAAGGCUGACCAGGGCGACGAUCCAUAGCCGACCUGAGAGGGUGAUCGGCCACACUGGGACGGAGACACGGCCCAGACUCCUACGGGAGGCAGCAGUAGGGAAUCUUCGGCAAUGGACGGAAGUCUGACCCAGCAACGCCGCGUGAGUGAAGAAGGUUUUGGAUCGUAAAGCUCUGUUGAUAGAGGAGCGGUACCUAACCAGAAAGCGACGGCUAACUACGUGCCAGCAGCCGCGGUAAUAC